rnacentral:rRNA from 1 species
GAUGAACGCUAGCGGCAGGCUUAAUACAUGCAAGUCGAGGGGCAGCGCAGUGUAGCAAUACAUGGGCGGCGACCGGCAAACGGGUGCGGAACACGUACGCAACCUACCCAUAACUGAUGAAUAGCCCUCCGAAAGGAGGAUUAAUACAUCGUAACUUAAUGAAGUGGCAUCGCUUUAUUAAUAUAGCUCCGGCGGUUUUGGAUGGGCGUGCGGCCUGAUUAGGUAGUUGGCGGGGUAACGGCCCACCAAGCCUGCGAUCAGUAACUGGUGUGAGAGCACGACCAGUAACAUGGGCACUGAGACACGGGCCCGACUCCUACGGGAGGCAGCAGUAAGGAAUAUUGGUCAAUGGACGCAAGUCUGAACCAGCCAUGCCGCGUGAAGGAUGAAGGUCCUCUGGAUUGUAAACUUCUUUUGAAUGGGACGAAACCUCUUUUUCUUGAGAGACUGACGGUACCAUUAGAAUAAGCACCGGCUAACUCCGUGCCAGCCGCCGCCGUAACAC